rnacentral:tRNA from 1 species
CUGGUCCUGGGCGGUCUUGAAGGAGCUGAUCUGGCUGAGGUUCAGUUCGGUCAGGCUGGCCAGGGCCAGCACCUUGUUCUGGCCGAUGGGGCCAGC